GCGCCCUUAGCUCAGUUGGAUAGAGCAACGGCCUUCUAAGCCGUGGUCGCAGGUUCGAAUCCUGCAGGGCGCGCCA
rnacentral:tRNA from 1 species